UUAUAGUUGUACAUCCUUUGUUAUUGUAUCAACAAAAGUUCAUAAAUAAGGAUUUUGCUAUGAAAAAUUGUAAUCAAUGUUUCCUUUCAUUUUUUUUUGUACAAUAUCUAGUAAAAUUAGGAAUAUUCCAAAACCGGGACGUUUAUCAAAAUCAUAAAAGUGUACAAAUUUAAAUUAUCAUUCAUCGAAAUAUGCUACUAACUAAUUUGUUAUUAUCCGGAAAUAUAUUAAUCAAAGAUAAGACACAGCAUGUGAAAGUGCGGCAUCUACACAACUGAUACACGAGGAUUAGCACUCCCAAUAAUCUAUUGAUAAAAUUAUCACGUGACAUGAUGCUGAUUAAUGUAUGACCACACGUGUGUGACCGCCUUUUUCAAACGCGGAAAUUGUAUCAUUUUCCUGGACAAUAUUUAGGACCGUUUUCAGCAAAGAAGAAUUCAUAGAAAUGUAUUAGAGACAGAACAGUAACUUAGGAAAGGGACAGAUCAGUAACUUAGGAAAGAAAGAUUUAAGGAUAAAAGUAAUAGCUGUCAAGGAAGAGUAAUGGAGGCCUACACAAAGAUAACAGAAGCUGAAUUAAAGAAGGAUUGUGCACCAGAAAUGAUUGGAGGAGUUUAGAAACUACAAUUCAUUUUCACGAAAAUAAUAAAAAUUGAUUAAGAAA